GUGAGUGACCUGGGUCAAUGUCUAAUACUGGCCCCUCCUAACUCUGCACCUGUGUGGGCCCUGUCGGGGAGGAUGUUCAUGAUCAGUGUCAGGCCCCUGGAGCAUCUCCUGCUGUGCUGGUGGAAGGUGGGUGGUCUUGUCACCUGUGUCACACCCAGGGCCUGAUGCUCAGGCCUCUGCAGAGCCAGACCCCUCCUUGUGCUGUAUGGGGCAGCCUGGGCUGAGCUGCCCUUUGUGAGCCAGUCCCCCUCAGGAGGGAUGAGCAGGGGUUGCUUUGUUCUCCAGCACAGUGAGUUACAGAGCUUUACCCUAAAUCAAGAACAGAGGCCUCAGCGUGCCCUGACGUGCACGGAGCUCUUGCCGUCCAAUGCAUGUUUGAACAGGGUGGUUGUGAGUACCCUGAUUGGAGGAAGCCAUUCAGAAAUGCUCAUGGAUUCAGAGUGAGAGGGUCUGUCACUCAGGCAGUGAUAGGUCAGGGAGUCAAUCUCGUGCGUUCUGUGCAGUGAGGCUUCCCAAAGGGUGACUGUUCCACUGCUGCUUUUCCCAUCCAUUUGAACAAUGCCAAACUCACCUGCCUACUCAACCUUGGGAGGGAGGGUGGGGUGUGUUUGUGUAUUCAAAAUUUGUUUGGGUAGCAGAGGGACAGACACAGAGGGCAUCCAUCCCUUCAUCCUAUCCUCAGAUGCCUGUGUGGACACAGUUUUCUCUGUUCAUGUGUAGGAGGGCCCAGUGAUAGCCCCCAGUAUGAGUUGAACUGCUGACAUAGUGCCAUGCUGUGACUUGGACACCCUCUUCAAGGCUGUGGCCUCAAUUCUUAGAAUGGGUAAUGCAGUGGAGCCGGGUGCUGAUUGUAGUCACAGAAGAUGGUUAUGUGUGGGUGCUGAGCUGCAUAUCAAAGAACCCCAUCACUUCACUUACACUUUGAAGCAAGAAGGCAGCAGGAGACCCAAAUGGAGUUCCAGGCUCCUAGGUUCAGCAUGGCCCAGACCCAGCUAUUGUGGCCAUUUGGGAAUUGAACCAGCAAAUGAAGAUCUCUGUCUCUCCCUCUCUUUGUAACUCUGCCUUUCAAAUAAGUAUGUAUAUAAAUAAAUAACAUUUUCAAAUUAAAAA